AGUCGAACGGAAAGGCCCUUCGGGGUACUCGAGUGGCGAACGGGUGAGUAACACGUGGGUGAUCUGCCCUGCACUUUGGGAUAAGCCUGGGAAACUGGGUCUAAUACCGAAUAUGACCACGCGCUUCAUGGUGUGUGGUGGAAAGCUUUUGCGGUGUGGGAUGGGCCCGCG
rnacentral:rRNA from 1 species